UUUCAUUUCUUCAAAUACAAACUAGCUCCAUCUUCGACCUCAUUUGGAUAUGAGUUUGGGUGCUGCUUGCUUGAGGUUCAAUGCUAAAGUUUCAAGCUGGAGGUCCGUCAUUAAGAUCUGGAAGUCCGUUGUCCAUCAUCUGCAUGAUGCUCAAGUCCAUGAUUCAAGCUCAACCCAGGCCGAUGACCCCUUUAUUUCCAUUUCCGAGCCUCUCGCUUUACCUGACCCUUUAAUUCCUCCCGCAUUCAGCUUCAUGGAGCCACAUUGAGUGCAUCUAGGGUAUUUCUAUCGUGUUGUAUGAUUUAUCUCCUAGAUGCCCAUUUUGUUUUGAUCUUUUGCAAAUGAGCUAAUUAUACAACCAUUACUAUGGCAGAUCUUUAGCUUUAAACUAGAAACAUGAGUUAACCCAUUUGAGAUUGUUGAAGGGUUUGAGGUGAAUGCUCAACUUUCCCUUAGUAUCUACUCAAAGUUAAUUAUUAUUGUUAAAUUGCUUACUGUUAAACUUAAUUGAACUGAGAUUGAGCAUGACACCUAAAAACAAAAGGGGGAUAGGAAAACCCAAAGACAGAGAUUUCAGCAUUAGGAAGCUUAAAUUUAAAGCACUGAGAUGAUCAAGUAAAAAGUUAACAACAGAAAUUUAAAUUUUUUAGAACAAUCUGGAAUUAUUCGAAAAGCUGUAUUAAUUUGCACAUGCUAAAAUCCUGUGAAUAUUUUUCCUAACUAGUGGACUUCUUAAUCUUUAAAACGAGACAAACACCAUCUUAAAAUGGAUAUGUAUUCAAUUAGUUAUGAAUUUCUAAAGAUAGGAAAAAUUCCGGAAAAAAAUAGUUGUGGUUAGAACAAGGUGUGUUCAUUUAUUGAAUUGUAUUGACUGAACAACUAUUGGAGGUUUGGAUUAUUAUUUUUAUUUCAAACAAGACUUUUAGAGCUAAGACCACACAAUCCAAUACUCAUAUCCUUAUAUCCCUUUAACAACAUGUGUCCAAAUGCCACACACUGCCUUUGAAUAUGCCUUGGAAAUUAAAUGGAAUCCAUUAUUCUCAAAUGGAAUUUUGAAAAGAGCAUUAAUUUAGUGGUUUUUUUCUUGCUGUAAGUCAAAGGCUUUGUCUGGGCUUUAGAAAAUACAUUUUUUUUACCUGUAAAAUAUAAUAAAUUAUAGAGUAGAUGGAUUAUUGCAAUUCCAAAAGAAAUGGCACGUAAAUAAAAAUGGUAUUUUGUGGUAGGUUGUGAGUAUACUUGGAUUAAAAUUGUGAAAUCUUUUUUACUUUGUUUUCGUUGAAUUUGGCUGUUGUUGCAUGAUUGCAAUGUUAAUAUUUUAGAUAGGACUUUGCUGAAUUUCUGUCAUAAUUUAUUAGAAUUCUAAGUUGUUGAAUUGUCUUGACUAGUGUAGAAUUGUGAGGAGUUACAAUUCUUGGGGUUCUCUAAAAUUUUGAAAGUAAUUGAUUGAUAUGGAUCAAGUAUGGAUGUCUGCCAAUUAUUUGUCUAGGGAAUAUGAAAAUGGAGUUAAUGGGUUUACUGAAUUUGCAUUUUGUCAUGAUGAAUACUCUUAUGGAGUCAUAUGCCCUUGUCUAAAAUGCUCUCAAUGUAAUUGUAUGAAAUCAAGGUUUGGCUGAACAUGAUAUUGAUUUUGAAGAGGGCUCUUUGGAAAAGUCACAAGAGAUAAGUUAGGCGCAAAACCUAUAGUAGAUAUCCCCACAAAAGGUAUCUAUAUAGUGACUUUAUGGUGAGGGUUCAAUGAUGAAUAAAUUUUAAUUCAUCAAACAUCUAUAGCACUUAUGAAUAAAUCACCAUUCUGUUCAAAUUAGUGAUACUGACCAAAAAAAAAUUAGAGCAAUAUUUUAUUCUUAGCUCUUCAUAAUUUGGGGUAAGUUAUUGUAUUUUUAUAUCUUGAAAUCUAAUUGAAAUUUGAUUUAAUAUAAUAUUUUAAUUUUUAGGGACCAUUAGGUGCUAAUAUAUAUCAAUCCAUACAUUCUUGAGUUUUAUUAUAUUAACUCGACUCAUAGUAAUCCCGAUCAUUGCAAACCUAUGAAGAGAUUAAAUAAUCAAUAAGAAUCCUAAUAUUUACUUGUGAUAUAUGUGUAAUAUAACAAUCAAGCAUAAUUUAAGCUAGCUAAUAUAUCUUUUGUUAGGGUUGUGGAGUGUUUUGAGGAAAUAAGGGACUCUUGUACCAAAUUAGAAAACCUGAUAUAGCUGAUUACAAGUAGAUAAGAAAAAAGGUAUUUAUCAUUUUAUUACUUCUAAAUGAUUGUUUGAUGAUAUUUUAAAUAUUUUUCUCUCCAACUAUGUUAUUUUGGGUUGCUGUAGAAUUACUGGGAUACUGAAAUGUCCAUCUUCUAAACGGAGACUCUAUUGGAUUUCUUCCAAUUUUUUGUAGGAUUUCAUAGAUAACUUCUCUCUGAAUGAUCCAUCUAGUGUAUUAAUUAAUAUUUGUUAAAUUUUAAUUUGGUUUAUAACAUGACAAAACUUAAGCAUUCAUUUUUGUUUUCAUUUUUACGGGGCCAAAACAAAUUGACUAUUGGGAGUGCAAAUACUACACCAUGAAAUUCAUGAAAGAUGUUAUCAUGCAUGGAGAAAUAGUCAUUCCAACAAAUGUAAGUAUUUUAAAAUUAGUUUCAUUAAAUGUAAUUAAGUAAUUUAAUUGAUGCAUGUUAUUUUAUCUUAUAGUUUGAAAAUGUUUGAUGCAAGUCUUACAAGAUAGGAGAAUCAGAUGAGUUGAUAAAGGAGUAGUCAAAAUAUGUUAUGAGAUGUUUAUACACAUUGCAUUCAAAGUAGUUGGAAUUUGUAGUAUAGGUAUAGGUGUAGAAAUAUUAUGAAAACUAUAUUAUUUAGUUGCUUGAGUUUUGGUAUGUGAAAAAAAAUACUUUGACCUUUAGUUAUAGUUGUUCUUUAAAAUUGAAUGAUAAUUAAUUUGUUAAAGUCUGUAUUGUCUUUUUUGUAUUGUUGUGCUUCUAGAUUUUAUCUAAAAUAUUGGUCAUGACAUGCAAUAUAAUGAUGAAAUGGAGAAAAGAAAACAAAAAAUAUAAAAAAUACCUACAAGAACAUUUGAUGAAAGAAAAGCUCAUGUAGGGUAGACCUAUGAGAGCUUUUCAUAAUAUGAACAUUCUUAUAAAUCUUCCCUGUCAGAGCAGCUUUUAAACGCUCCCUUACAUUGUAAAGGACAUCGUAAAUUAGAACUUAAAUCAUUACACUAAUUAUGGUUAAUCAAGGACUAAU